GAUAAAGCAGGGAAGCCGGCUCAGUCACUGAUAUUAUGAAGACAGAUGAAAUCAGAGGAAAAGUCUUUGGGAAGGAGGCUGUAAUUAUCUGUCUGCAGCAGCUGAGAGGCCCUGGAGAGGAAGCCUUGGAGCAGGAAGGGAGCAAUCACAGGAUUCGGAAGAGUCUGUCAUUCGGUCCAAGCUGAACCAGGUGACUCAGCAUUGUAAUAUAUUCCCACUCCUGCUCAGCCCCACAGAAAAGCAUGGAUUGGGUCAUCCUUCUCCUUCUCCUCUUCUGCCCCCACAUGCAGGCACAUGCACGUAGUCCAGGCUGGCUUCCUCAACUCUAGCCAUU